GACGAACGCUGGCGGCGUGCCUAAUACAUGCAAGUCGAGCGAACAGAUGAGGACGUUGCUUCGCUGACGUUAGCGGCGGGCGGGUGAGUAAGACGUGGUUAACCUAGCUAUAAGACUGGGAUAGCUUCGGGAAACCGGUGCUAAUACCGGAUAAUAUAUUAAAACGCAUGGUUCAAUAGUGAAUGACGGUUUUUCGGUCUCUCAUAGAUGGAUCCGCGCCGCAUGGGCUGGUCGGUAAGGUAACGGCUUACCAAGGCAACGAGGCGUAGCCGACCCGGGAGGGUGUCGGGCCACCGUGGAACUGGAACACGGCCCAAACUCCAAGGGGGGCCAGCAGUAGGAACUUUCCGGAAUGGGGCGAAGGCUGGACGGAGCAACGCGCGGGAGGUGAUGAGGGUCUCGGGUCGUAAAAACUUUGUUAUUGGGGAGGAAAAAGUGUGUAGGUAACGAUGCACGCCUGACGGUAACCUAAGAGGAAGCCCCGGCUAACUUCGUG
rnacentral:rRNA from 1 species